ACCCCAUAGACUAUGGAUGCUGGAAUGCUUCGUAUUUCAAAGGUCCGCCGCCUUAGGAUGGGUCUGCGGCCGAUUAGGUUGUUGUUGGGGUAACGGCCCAACAAGCCUGUAAUCGGUACGGGUUGUGGGAGCAAGAGCCCGGAGAUGGAUUCUGAUACACCAAUCCAGGCCCUACGGGGCGCAGCAUGCGCGAAAACUUUACAAUGCGAUAAAUCGUGAUAAGGGAACUCUGAGUGCCCGUAAAAUCGGGCUGUCCAUCUGUUUAAAUAACAGGUGAAGAAAGGGCCGGGCAAGACCGGUGCCAGCCGCCGCGGUAAUACCGGCGGCUCGAGUGGUGGCCACUAUUACUGGGCUUAAAGCGUCCGUAGCUGGUCUGUUAAGUCUCUGGGGAAAUCUUCCGGCUCAACCGGAAGGCGUCUCAAGGAUACUGGCAGA
rnacentral:rRNA from 1 species